rnacentral:rRNA from 1 species
AGAGUUUGAUUCUGGCUCAGAAUGAACGCUGGCGGCGUGCUUAACACAUGCAAGUCGUACGAGAACGUCUUAGCUUGCUAAGAUUAGUAAAGUGGCGCACGGGUGAGUAACGCGUGGAUAAUCUACCUUCGAAUCGGGGAUAACAUUGCGAAAGCGAUGCUAAUACCGGAUAAUAUCUAUGGUUCUUCGGGACCUUAGAUCAAAGAUGGCCUCUACUUGUAAGCUAUUGUUUGAAGAUGAGUCCGCGUCCCAUUAGCUUGUUGGUGGGGUAAUGGCCUACCAAGGCAACGAUGGGUAGCUGGUCUGAGAGGAUGAUCAGCCACACUGGAACUGACACACGGUCCAGACUCCUACGGGAGGCAGCAGUGAGGAGUUUUGCGCAAUGGGGGAAACCCUGACGCAGCAACGCCGCGUGAGUGAUGAAGGCUUUCGGGUCGUAAAGCUCUGUCAAGUGGGAAGAAAAUAUAUAAAGCCAAUACCUUUAUGUACUGACGGUACCACUGAAGGAAGCACCGGCUAACUCCGUGCCAGCAGCCGCGGUAACACGGGGGGUGCAAGCGUUAUUCGGAUUCACUGGGCGUAAAGAGCGCGUAGGCGGCCAGGUAAGUCAGAUGUGAAAGCCCGGGGCUCAACCCUGGAAGUGCAUCUGAAACUGCUUGGCUUGAGUAUGGGAGAGGGUAGUGGAAUUCCUGGUGUAGAGGUGAAAUUCGUAGAUAUCAGGAGGAACACCGGUGGCGAAGGCGACUACCUGGACCAAUACUGACGCUGAGGCGCGAAGGCGUGGCAGCAAACAGGAUUAGAUACCCUGGUAGUCCACGCAGUAAACGUUGUUCACUAGGUGUAGCGGGUAUUGACCCCUGCUGUGCCGCAGCUAACGCAUUAAGUGAACCGCCUGGGAAGUACGGCCGCAAGGCUAAAACUCAAAGAAAUUGACGGGGGCCCGCACAAGCGGUGGAGCAUGUGGUUUAAUUCGACGCAACGCGAAGAACCUUACCUGGAUUUGACAUCCCGGGAAUUCUAUCGAAAGACUGAAGUGCCCUUCGGGGAACCCGGUGACAGGUGCUGCAUGGCUGUCGUCAGCUCGUGUCGUGAGAUGUUGGGUUAAGUCCCGCAACGAGCGCAACCCCUGUCUUUAGUUGCCAGCAUUUAGUUGGGGACUCUAAAGAUACCGCCCCGGUUAACGGGGAGGAAGGUGGGGAUGACGUCAAGUCCUCAUGGCCUUUAUGUCCAGGGCUACACACGUGCUACAAUGGGCUGUACAGAGGGUAGCGAUGCCGCGAGGUGGAGCCAAUCCCAAAAAGCAGUCCCAAGUUCGGAUUGGAGUCUGC